rnacentral:ncRNA from 1 species
UUUUAUAAGAAUAUGAUGUUGGUUCAGAUUAAGCGCUAAAUAAGGACAUGACACAUGCGAAUCAUACGUUUAUUAUUGAUAAGAUAAUAAAUAUGUGGUGUAAACGUGAGUAAUUUUAUUAGGAAUUAAUGAACUAUAGAAUAAGCUAAAUACUUAAUAUAUUAUUAUAAAAAAAUAAUUUAUAUAAUAAAAAGGAUAUAUAUAUAAUAUAUAUUUAUCUAUAGUCAAGCCAAUAAUGGUUUAGGUAGUAGGUUUAUUAAGAGUUAAACCUAGCCAACGAUCCAUAAUCGAUAAUGAAAGUUAGAACGAUCACGUUGACUCUGAAAUAUAGUCAAUAUCUAUAAGAUACAGCAGUGAGGAAUAUUGGACAAUGAUCGAAAGAUUGAUCCAGUUACUUAUUAGGAUGAUAUAUAAAAAUAUUUUUAUUUUAUUUAUAAAUAUUGAAUAUUUAUAAUAAUAAUAAUAUAUAUAAAUUGAUUAAAAAUAAAAUCCAUAAAUAAUUAAAAUAAUGAUAUUAAUUACCAUAUAUAUAUUUUAUAUGGAUAUAUAUAUUAAUAAUAAUAUUAAUUUAUUAUUAUUAAUAAUAUAUUUUAAUAGUCCUGACUAAUAUUUGUGCCAGCAGUCGCGGUAACACAAAGAGGGCGAGCGUUAAUCAUAAUGGUUUAAAGGAUCCGUAGAAUGAAUUAUAUAUUAUAAUUUAGAGUUAAUAAAAUAUAAUUAAAGAAUUAUAAUAGUAAAGAUGAAAUAAUAAUAAUAAUUAUAAGACUAAUAUAUGUGAAAAUAUUAAUUAAAUAUUAACUGACAUUGAGGGAUUAAAACUAGAGUAGCGAAACGGAUUCGAUACCCGUGUAGUUCUAGUAGUAAACUAUGAAUACAAUUAUUUAUAAUAUAUAUUAUAUAUAAAUAAUAAAUGAAAAUGAAAGUAUUCCACCUGAAGAGUACGUUAGCAAUAAUGAAACUCAAAACAAUAGACGGUUACAGACUUAAGCAGUGGAGCAUGUUAUUUAAUUCGAUAAUCCACGACUAACCUUACCAUAUUUUGAAUAUUAUAAUAAUUAUUAUAAUUAUUAUAUUACAGGCGUUACAUUGUUGUCUUUAGUUCGUGCUGCAAAGUUUUAGAUUAAGUUCAUAAACGAACAAAACUCCAUAUAUAUAAUUUUAAUUAUAUAUAAUUUUAUAUUAUUUAUUAAUAUAAAGAAAGGAAUUAAGACAAAUCAUAAUGAUCCUUAUAAUAUGGGUAAUAGACGUGCUAUAAUAAAAUGAUAAUAAAAUUAUAUAAAAUAUAUUUAAUUAUAUUUAAUUAAUAAUAUAAAACAUUUUAAUUUUUAAUAUAUUUUUUUAUUAUAUAUUAAUAUGAAUUAUAAUCUGAAAUUCGAUUAUAUGAAAAAAGAAUUGCUAGUAAUACGUAAAUUAGUAUGUUACGGUGAAUAUUCUAACUGUUUCGCACUAAUCACUCAUCACGCGUUGAAACAUAUUAUUAUCUUAUUAUUUAUAUAAUAUUUUUUAAUAAUUAUUAAUAUUAUUAAUUUUUAUUUAUUUAUAUCAGAAAUAAUAUGAAUUAAUGCGAAGUUGAAAUACAGUUACCGUAGGGGAACCUGCGGUGGGCUUAUAAAUAUC